CUGAGACUGAGUAACCCCAGAGUGCAGUCUGGACGAUGGGGCGGGGCGACACUUCGAGGCGGAGCGACACGUGUCGCCCCGCCCAUAUUUGUUUUCCCCGCCUUUGACAUUUUCCUCCGAGCCAGCAGGGGGCAGUUUGCGUUGAAACAAACAGAACGGUGGCAACUACAGCAGCAGAGUAAUAACGCUAUUCCGUUGAUUGCUUGAGGAUGACAUGAUCAGGAGGUGGUGGUGUUCUGUUCUCCUGGACAGCUUCACUCCGCAAAUAGCUCAACCACUGAGGAGAACUUCACCAUUCACCAUGUCUUCAGGCAGAGUCCAGCAAAGCAGCUUCCCCUGGAAAUCCUCAGGGAAGUUAUUUUGUCGGCGAGUGACUCUGCAUAUUUGACACUUUCUCUGGUUUGCAGAUGGUUUAGGGAUGUGCUCCGAAGUUUUUCAGAAAGUGGCAUAGUUUGCCUGGCUAGACAUUGUGGCCAACUGGAAGAAUUGUCCUCCUGUCUCCUGACAGGAACGAGUUCAGACGGAUGUACAGCAUCAGGGAAUGCUUGCAGUGCAGAGCCCUUUUCAAGUUUAACCCACCAGGGUACAGGGAAGAGACCGGCGUGGUGAUCUUCUGAUACAGAUGGAUCUCUCAAAUCAGAAGGUUACAAUGACCACAAUAACCAAGCGGGAAGUUAUAGGUUAGUUCUCAAGGAGAUUGUCUGUUCCUUUUACUGAAUAUUUUCGGGUCGAAGCAUGAUUUAAACAGUUACAGCACAUUCACACGCAAUCGCUUUCCCAAUAAUGCAUUCAAACAAAUGUAAUCUUACAGUGUUACUUCAUCUGUAUCUGACUUUGAAUGAGCAGAAAUCUGUAAGAAAUGCAUUGAUCUGUAGAUAAAAUAA